rnacentral:rRNA from 1 species
GACGAACCGUCCAAACGUUAUUCGGAAUCACUGGGCUUAAAGGGCGCGUAGGCGGCCGAGCGGGUCGCGGGUGAAAUCCUCCAGCUUAACUGGAGAACUGCCCUCGAUACCACUGCGGCUCGAGGAAGGAAGGGGCAAUUGGAACUGUCGGUGGAGCGGUGAAAUGCGUUGAUAUCGACAGGAACGCCUGUGGCGAAAGCGAAUUGCUGGUCCUUUUCUGACGCUGAUGCGCGAAAGCCAGGGGAGCAAACGGG